CAUACACACACACACACACACACACACAUAUGUAUGUAAAAUUCGAUUAGCGGUCAUCUUUGUCUCAUGAAGAGAUGGUGUCAUUCAAAGAUAUUUAGAUACAUUAUUGCAGACACGAUAUAAGUAGCAUCAGUUAGAUUAAACUGAGUAAUCAUUAUCAGAUUUCUUGGUUCUUGUGCAAGGGAAGUCAACAGACCGCUCAAAUUUCAAUGGGAGAAUAUAAGGAGUAGUUGCGCGAUGAGAGUUGCACUCCUCUACAUUGGCGUACUCAUUUCAUGCACCUCGUCGCAGAAGCAAGAUCGCAAUAUGUCUGGUGGUAGGUCAGAAACAGAUUACGUUCACAUGGAUGGAAGGUAAGAAUUAUAUUUUGACAAUUAUUUGAGAAUGGCAUCAUCAA